rnacentral:rRNA from 1 species
GACGAACCGUGCGAACGUUAUUCGGAAUCACUGGGCUUAAAGCGCGUGUAGGCGGAUGGCCACGUCGGGCGCUGAAAUCCCCCGGCUCAACCGGGGAACGGGCACCGAUACGGGCCGUCUGGAGGGAGGUAGGGGGGGCUGGAACUUCCGGUGGAGCGGUGAAAUGCGUUGAGAUCGGAAGGAACGCCCGUGGCGAAAGCGAGCCCCUGGACCUUUUCUGACGCUGAGACGCGAAAGCUAGGGGAGCGAACGG